UAUCCCCAGAAAAUGGGCCUCAAAGAGCUCAGAAGAGAUAGGCCAAAGGAGGAGCCCAGAUAGGGCCGCUGUCCUGGAGAGCCAGCUUGGUGGUCUCCUGUGAGAGCUAAGAACAUGAUGUCUGUCCUGGGUACACUGCAGUUGGGUCUGUAGGAGGCAGCGGCCCUGAGUCAAGACAGUCACCCUGCUGUGCAUGACAAAGGAACCAGCUGUGUUCACAGAACAGGCUGCAGUGAACCUCAUCCUUGUUCCUGGCUGCCUGAGCUUGUGGCUUGGAAUCCUGUGGUUGAAGGCAGGCUUAAGGAGACCUGGGUCCUGGCCCCAGUCUUGUGUCUAAAUUUUUCUGUGAUGCCAACCUGCAGUCUUCCUGUGUAUUGAACUGCAAGGAUGACUCUCUUACUGUGUCAGGUGAGUUGUCUUUUUCAAGUCAUCUUAGACCAUUUCUGCAUCCCAGAUGGAGGUAUCCAGCAGCAGUCAUGGCUGUCACAAACACCACAUUGGGUGCGACUCUAAGUAUUUCAUAAGUAAAUCUCUCUAAGGGUCACAGUCACCCCCAUGAGAUGCAACUCAGAUCCAAUUCCUGCCACAGAUGCAGAAAGGGCCACAGAGGUUUACACAGAGGUCACACAGUAAGCUAAGGGUGGUCAGGCAGUUUUAGCAGGUGACAUGUUCUUGUGUGCCCACACACAACAUCCCUGUUUACACCUUUUGUGUCUGGGACAAUGCCGGUUGAUACCUAUUGUCUUACUAUUGUAAUUAUUAGUAAUGUUCUGU
rnacentral:lncRNA from 1 species